AGAGGAUGAAUAUUUACAAAAGAAUGUUGAACAGACAGGAGCUCAGUUCACGGGAAAAAAUGGCGCGAAUCAAACUGACAGCCAAAAUGAGUUGAAAAGCUGUGCACCAACAUUAAAUCAGACCUCAGAGGAAAGCAGAAAAGAACACGCAUCUGUUGAAACCGGUUUGACUUGUUCCUGUAAGAGUGCAUCACAGUCGAACCUCCCGGAUGUGAUACAGACUGACUACAAAGAAAACGAUAUAGCGAAAAAUGACAACACGGUCUGAAUAGUGAGUGAAAACCUGGGCGACCGGUUGAUUGCGAUUAAUUUUCUUUGUGAGAUUCUCGCUGAAUGUUGUUUGGUAAAGAAAGACCGGAGAGGAAAGUUCUCCCACAAGGAUUGAAUGCCUAGCUGGAAGAUGUGCUUUCUUGAAUGGCAUCAGGUGCUCCCUCUAGAAGAGAAAGGUCGUGAAUUCCAAAAAGAAGUCUCUGAAGCUUGAUGAAUUGUCCUCUGCUGAUAUAUCAGGAAAGCCUUUGAGUUCUAGGGUCAAGAUUUUGGCCGUCAAGCGGUAAACAACCGAUUGGAUCAUUAUGAGGAUAGGAGUGACUGCACACCCAUCUCUCCCUGAUUAAAAGUUAGGAUUAAAAUUGGAUUAUGGGAGGGGUGGGUGCGCCAUUGCUCAGAUACUACUAUUGAUCCUAAAGAAUCAUCAAUCGAUUCGUGUCUUUGAAUUUAAAGAAUAGUUUGGUCCAGUUUUAAUGGAUCAUCGCGGAGUUCAUUAUGAAACCGUAAUUUUUGGACGCCUAAUUGAUUGAGCUAAAUAAAUAAAAAUGAGCGACAUA